GCCCGAUUAGCUCAGUUGGUUAGAGUGCUACCCUCACAUGGUAGAGGCCGCUGGUUCGAGUCCAGCAUCGGGCA
rnacentral:tRNA from 1 species